rnacentral:rRNA from 1 species
UACGUAGGCAGCGAGCGUUGUUCGGAGUUACUGGGCGUAAAGCGUGCGCAGGCGGUUUCUUAAGUCAGAUGUGAAAGCCCCGGGCUUAACCUGGGAACUGCGUUUGAAACUGGGAGACCUGAGUGUGGCAGAGGGGGGUGGAAUUCCACGUGUAGCAGUGAAAUGCGUAGAUAUGUGGAGGAACACCGAUGGCGAAGGCAGCCCCCUGGGUUAACACUGACGCUCAUGCACGAAAGCGUGGGGAGCAAACAGG